rnacentral:rRNA from 1 species
GUGUCAGCCGCCGCGGUAAUACGUAGGUGGCAAGCGUUGUUCGGAUUUACUGGGCGUAAAGGGUGUGUAGGCGGAUAUUUAAGUCAGAUGUGAAAUCCCCGGGCUUAACUUGGGGACUGCAUUUGAAACUGGAUGUCUAGAGUGCAGGAGAGGAAAGCAGAAUUCCUAGUGUAGCGGUGAAAUGCGUAGAGAUACGGAAGAAUACCAGUGGCGAAGGCGUGUUUCUGGACUGUAACUGACGCUGAGGCGUGAAAGCGUGGGGAGCAAACAGGAUUAGAUACCCUGGUAGUCCUCGCCGUAAACGAUGAAUACUAGGUGUAGGAGGUAUCGACUCCUUCUGUGCCGCAGUUAACACAAUAAGUAUUCCGCCUGGGGAGUACGGUCGCAAGAUUAAAACUUAAAUGAAUUGGCGG